AGCUCAAUCCGUUUCACCCAGCAAGGUGGUAAAAUGGCGCCAGAGACAACCGGGAGCUCCUGUCAGAGUGUGGCCAUGCCACUUCCGUUGGGCAGACUCCCCAGGCCAGGGGUCUGCUUAAGGCUCCAAACCAGAGAGGCUCAUGUCAGACCUUCAGAGAUGAUCAAACACAGAGCAGUGGGAAAUCCUGCCUCAAAACCUGGAAAAUGCAAGACUUCAUUUGUAUACUUCAUGUUCACUUGUAUUCAAUAAACCAAAUAACCUUGGCUGCAAGGAUUUGGAAAGAGCAAAGAGUCUACGGUGAGCUUUGUUAUACAUUCCAAUAAAAGCCAAAGGACUAGACUUAGAUUAGGAAAACUUGACUCAGGUAAUCAAGUGGCUAUCUGGACUUUUAUGUGACAUUUUUGGGUGCUGAGAAACCUCUAGGAACAGAGAAAGCAAAAGAGUAUUCCUGUCUGUUUCACAGGAAAUAAACAAGGUAUCUAUUUAUUAAACUGUUAAAUUAGAGCUGCCUUCUACUAGAGCCCAGGCACCAGCAAGUCUUCUCCCCACCACCACAACCCUCACUCACAAGGACUACUGUAAAUGUAUCAUCUUAAUUAUAUCCAUCAAAUCUUAGUAGGACUCUGCUAGUCAUUCUUGCAGUUGUCAUCUCCUUCUGCCAUUGAGAGGUUCUUGUGUUCAAUGAAGGUAGAACCCAUCUGGAUGCAGCCCAGGCUCCUGGGGAGGUGGGCACUGCCUCCCCUACAGCAAACCCUGGCUGGGGUCUGGGACCAGGAACGGGGGUUAAACACCACUUCCCCUGCUCAAGCAUACUGCUGGCUGCAACCAUGGACUACAAAUCCUAGAGGCUCCUGGAAGUAGGAAGAGGAAGUGAUAAGCAACCCUGUGGAGUCCCGCUGCUGCUAUUCCAGACUGCAACUCCCAGAGUCCUCAGGGGCAGCAGGAAGAGGAAGUAAACACACAGCCAGACAGCCAUGCUCUAGUGUUCCCUGGCUUCUGACCUGAGCCACAGUAGGCAUGUGUCAGCAUUUCCGGAAUCAAAGUAAAGGCUGAAGACUCAACGCUUUAUGGCUCUGGGUUUGUGCCAAGGAAUCAUUUGCAGGCUUACCCAUCCAGAACAGACAAGGGGCACUAAUACCUCUUUGGAUACUCUUCUGGGUGGGAAUUCAUACAAGACAGAGCCAUGCUGUAGUUUGAAGGUAUGUUUGGUCAUUUAAGGGGUGGCUUGGCUUGUUCAGGAACAAGUCACUUGCUGUGCUGCUCAUUGAGACUUGGUCCUUGGGCUGGUGGAAACUGUGAGUAGUAGCUACAUAUGAAGUCUUAUUUAUUGUGAGCAGGAAACUAUGUGUAACAACCUGAGACAGAAAUGGCUCCUGUUGAAUCAUAUGGCUGUACACUUGGUCACCUAGCACAGAUAACAAGCACCUGGAUGUAUGGGAAACAGACUCAGUGGAAAUACUUCCCUACAGAUAAGCAGGCAGACCAACAGUAACCAUGUUUUGUUUGUAGCAUGGGCUUGAUUUCUUCUGCUUCCAAUUUUACCACAAGAGAGGGGCAAUCUCUGAGGAUCCUCUUAUAGAUCCUCAUUUUGUAGGAGUGGGUUUCUCUCUCAUAGAAUAAACUGGGAUUGCCUCUCCAUUCUUCUCCCAAAGUAAGUGUAUGUAGGAGGGCAGGGGGGGAAGUUCCCAAGCACACAUAUACAUCUUAGGGAGUUCACAGAAGAACAGAACUAUCUGUAUGAGGUUGUCCCAUUACACUAAUGACCAUGAAGCAGUGCCCUCUUUACAUUUUUCUACCAUAUGUAGAGUGAAGAGUAUUAUUAAUGCUGCUGAUGAGUAUUGUAUGUGGGUGGAUAUUGCAUACUAGGUUUCUCUCCGACUUUUUUCCUUUUCUGCGAUUCAGUUGGCCUGGUUUAUGUAAUCUGUGUUCAGGUGCCUGGGGAGCCUUGAGCAAGAGGUUCCCAUAAAUGAAAGCCUAUUAUUAGGAUUAGUAAAGCUGAGUAAAACCUGUAAGAAUCCUACUGUAUAGCAUCAGCAUAUCUGUCCCCACAGGAAAAGGACUUGGUAGCUGCAUCCCAAAGCCAGUGUCAUCUGGUUUGGAAAAAAACAUAGAUUGAAAGUUUUCCAUUAUAGUGCUCUCUGGGCAUGUCUAUAUGAGAUGUUUACUUCAGAAUUGCCUAAUUAGCUCUACAGUAAAGCCUCAACGUCUACAUGUGUGGCCCUAUUAGGCCACAGUAAACUAAUAAAUGCCAUCAUAGGAUAGUACUUGCAAACACAAGUACUAUCCUGCGGCGGCGUUAUUUACUCUGCUUCAGUGCAUGCAUAGACACUGAUGGAGCUGGGCAGGGCACAAAGGAGGUUCAGCCAGCUCCUUCACAGCACAUUGAGCUGGGUUGGAGCAGCCCUGGGCUGGCAGGUUGGCCCCCUGAGACCCCUGCCAACCAGGGAUGCUCUGACCUGGUUCAACAUGCUGCACUCCCAGGUGCACAUGUAAAUGUGAUACCCAGGAGCAAUAAACUGUGGGGACCAGAACUGGGCAUCUAUACUUUGAUUACUCUACCCAGUUACUGCCCCCACACCUCAGAAAGGAUAUAGAACAACUAGAUAAAGCACAGAGAAGGAUAACAAGGAUGACUAGUGGUAUGGAGGGGCUUCCAUUUGAGGAGAGAUUCAAGAGGCUAGGCCUAUUCAGUUUAGAAAAGAGAUGCUCAAGGGGGGACAUGAGAGAUGCAACAAGGGGUAGAGUGAUACUUUAUGUUUUGUUUACAAUUCUCUUCUUAAUAAUCCCUAAUGUUUUAUUUGCCAUUUUGACGGCUGCUGAGCAAUGACCCGAUGCGUUUAUCAACUGUCCACAAUGACUUCCAGAUCUGUUUUCUGUGGGAACAGUUAAUGUAGUACCCAUCCUAGUGUAGGUAUAGUUUGGGUUAUUUUUUGCCCAUAUGAAUUACUUGACACUUAUCUAUAUUGAAUUUUAUCUGACAUUUAUUUACCUAUUUACUCAAUAGUGCCAGGUCCUUCUGUAGAUCCUCACAGUCUGCCUUGUUCUUUACCACUUAGAACGAUUUUGUGUCAUCCACAAACUUGUCCACUUCACUUCUCACCCCCUUUUCCAGAUCAUGUAUGGAUAUGCUGAACAACACUGAUCCCACCACAGAUUCCUGGUGGACCCUGCUAUUUACUACUUUUCAUUCUGAAAACUGCAUUGACAACGAAAAUCUAUCAAAGACCAGAAUGUACCCAAUUACCUGUAGGGACACAUUUCUCACAAGAAAAUCACUCUCUCUCCAAUCUCUCAGUUCUAAUCCUCAAAGGGAAUUUACAAAACACUUUCUGCAGACAAGCCUACAAACUUCACUUCAUCAACCUACUGGAUACAAAAAAUCAUGGAGUAAAUAUAGACAUUGGAUUUAUGACACAUUAUAACCUGCCUAAUAUCUGAUACCCAGGUAACCUCUGCUAUUUACCAGCUAUAUUGUUAUCACCAGCUCUACAUACCCUCCCCCACACCUGUUUCUCACCCAUUGACUGCCUCAAUUUGCAUUUGUACUGACUGGCAUUCUCACAUACUGGCCUCUGGUUUCUACUCUAUUCCAUCCUGGAAGAGCAUAGCCUACCUGCAGAUGCUUCCUCAGCCUGAUGAAGGUUUGCAAAGAAGAUUUUUUUCUAACUGUUUUAGCUUGUCUAAUAAAAGAUAUCAGAUUUACCCAAAGAGCCUUGUCUGCCUAUGUCCUUACACCAACAUGGCUACAACUUAUACCCCUGGAACUUUUAGAAAGAAGCCUUUUUCUGCUUAUUGCCUCUGUAACUCUGCUAUUGAACAGUGCUGGCUUUCUUUUGGUCCAAUGGAAAUUUUUUUGAUUUGCAGAAUGAAUUUGCUCUGUGCCUCCAAUAUGGUGUUAUUAAGCAAUUCCCAUGCUGCUUGCAAGUUCCUCCCCUCCUUAGGGGGCCCUUUUAAUUGCUGUCUAAAUAACCUCCUCAUUUUGGUGUUGUCUCCCUUUUAAAGUUAAAAGCUACUAUGGUAGGUUUUCUUCUCGUUUCCUUUCCUACUUGGAUGUCAAGUGCAAUUGCAUUGCAGUCACUAUUGCAGAGAGGCUCAGUAACUUACCCUUUGCACCAAGUCCUGUGCACUACUUACGACUAGGUCAAGAAUGCCUUUUCCUCUUGUAAGUUCCCAGACCAUCUUUCUCCAGGAAGCAGCCUUUUAUAACUUCAAGAAAUUUGGUCUCAGUAUUUUGGCCUAAUGUUAGAUUGACCCAGUCUAUUUAUAGAUAGUUUAAAGUCACCCUUGUCCUGAUCUAGGGGUUGACAGUAUAUCCCCAGACAUACUUUUUUUUUUCUAUUUAAACUGGGAAUUUUAUCUACAGAGAUUCUAUAGUGCCUCUCAGUUGAAAAAUUUACCCUAUUUGAUUUGAUGUGGUCUUUGAUGUAGCGUGGCACUCCCUCACCAAUAUGAACCACUGUAUCAUUCCUGUCUAAUUUCUGUCCUGAUAUAACAGCAUCCCAUUGAUUUUCCUCAUUCCAUGUUUCAGAGUUAACCUAUUAUGUCAAUAUAAUUACAUGCUAAACAUUCAAGUUCCCCCCACUUUUGUUCUUAGACUUCUAACAUUAGUAUAAAAGCAUGUAUACUUUUUAUUGUUGCCUGGUUGACUACUCUGUGACCUUUUAAUCAUUAAAGUUCUUUGCUUGUGCUCAUCUUCUCCGUGUUUCUUAUCCCUGUUUUUUAGGGUGUCAGUCCAAACUGUGCGCUGUUCUACACCUGUCAGCUUUCCCUCAUUUUUAGUUGUAAAGCUGCAAUAUGCAUGUUAAUGGAAACCUUUAACCCAUGACUACAGGUUUAACAUGAAUCUUUCUCAAAGGCUUCACUGAAAUCGUAGAGUCAAAUUUAUGUAUAUCAACUGUGCCACCUCUGUGCCCAAGGCUAACAGCUAAGUUUAACUUUCUUUAAAAAGUAGCUGCUUCUGAAAUCUUGGGCUGCAUAGGGUUGCAGUGGUAGACAGGGCCAUCUGCACACUCAUGGACUUCACAUCAUAUGAUUGAAAAAGGCUUUGGACCAGUUAAUGAUAACAGGAAUUACACAGCAAUGAGAAUCCUGAAUUGUUACAUUUGCACUAACUAACAUUGUUAAC